AACAAACCACCAAGAGCUUCAAGGAUCUAACCGAUACUGUUUUCGAGUUUCCCGGGUUUAAGUCUCCUCUCAAGGCCUCCCACAUGCCUGAGCCAAUGCUUGACCGAGACGACCCUGCGUAUUGGGACAUGCUCUACUUUUGCUCACACCUUCCCAAAUCUAAUGGGAUCAUAGUCAACACGUUCGAAGAGCUGGAGCCUCCUGCAGUCCUCAAAGCCAUUUCUGGAGGUCUUUGUGUUCCUGAUGCUCCCACUCCUCCCGUCUUCUACAUUGGGCCAUUGAUUGCUGAAGAAAAACAAUCUGGUGAUGCCGCUGAGGGGGAAGUUUGUUUGUCAUGGCUUGAUAAACAGCCAAGUCGAAGCGUGGUGUUUCUCUGUUUUGGAAGCAGGGGAUCAUUCUCAGGGGCUCAAUUGAAGGAGAUGGCAGAUGGGUUGGAGAAGAGUGGGCAGAGGUUUUUGUGGGUGGUGAAGAAGCCUCCCCUUGAUGAGAAAACCAAGCAGGUCCAUGGAGUUCAUGACUUUGAUUUGGAGGGUUUGCUGCCAGAAGGGUUCUUGGAGAGGACCAAAGAUAGGGGCUUGGUGGUGAAGUCAUGGGCUCCGCAGGUGGCGGUGUUGAAGAAGGAAUCGGUGGGCGGGUUUGUGACGCAUUGUGGCUGGAACUCGGUGCUUGAAGCAGUGAUCGCCGGCGUGUCGAUGGUGGCGUGGCCGCUCUACGCAGAGCAGCACAUGAAUAGGAGUGUUUUGGUGAAGGAAAUGGAGAUGGCGAUUGCUGUGGAGCAGAGAGAGGAAGAUGGGUUUGUAUUUGGGGAUGAAUUGGAGAGAAGGGUUAGGGAGCUGAUGGAGUCAGAAAAAGGGAGAGAGCUUAGAGAAAGGAGCCGGAAAAUGGGAGAGAUGGCUUUGGCUGCUUGGGGUGAGUCUGGUUCGUCCACUAGAAACUUGGUCAACUUUGUUAAUAGCAUUACACUAAGUUUCGGAUUGCAUAAGUAAAUUACCAAGGGUGUACCUUCUCGUUGUUAACAAAUUUUCACUGUAUAUAUAAUCAUAAUCUGAACCGUCAUUUUCUUGUAUGAUUUGAACAUGUUAUGCAACUAACAAGACACUAUUUUGCAAGAAAAUUGAUAAUUUGUAUCAUGCUUUGCAAGGAGCUCUCGAUCCCAUCCAAGAUUUGGCUGUGCCAACGAAAUAUAUGAAAAAAACAACAACAACAACCAAAAAAAAAAAAAGUUAACAUAAGGGAUCACAAGCCUUUAUAUUUAGCCUUGGUAUGCAGUAUUUACAUAAUAAAUACAUUUAGAACACAUCUUUUUUGGCCUUAUUUUUUGCUAUUGGUUUUGUCCUUCUUCAUCCUUUUUUGAGGGCUCUUUUCAUACUUGAGACUUGGAAAAAAUAAGUGAUAGUUUAAAUUAUACUACAAAGGGGAUGAGAGUUUCUGCAGAGUUUCUGAAUUCUUGCCUUAUCAACACAGCUUAACACAAGGUCCACUCCACUGCCUUCUUUAUUUGGGCGGAAUGAUUUAUAUAUUACAACUAUUGUCAUUGUCAAGUAACAUUUGAGUCUGGUUGUGGACAACUUGUAACAUGAUAAUUCUCCAUCUUCUCGUCAUUGUAAAUCCAGCAGGCUGGCUUGGCUUGUGUGCUCGUCGAUUUCGAGAUCAAAGUUAGGAAUCAGAGGGGAAGAAGGAAUGGGAUGAUUCCUGAUUCGGAUAAACUAAAAACUGAAAAAAGGAAGAAAGAAAGUUGUCUCACAUUGAUUAAUUGCUCUCCGAGUAAGCUCCUUAUAAUUGUGAGUCUACCACAUUAGUUUUCAAGAAACUGGAUCCUAAACCCAGAUAAUGUUGGCCUAUAGUGAGAAAUAAAAAACACUCUCUAACGUGUUUAAAUUUUGGGAAAUAAAAUAUGACUUGUCUUGUGUUAAGUGAUUAGAUCUACUGGUUCAAAUUAAUCGAAAUGAUAAUAAAUGAAAGGAGCUUAUAUGCAAAGGCUCAGGAUUCUUCAAUAUUCGAACUCAUUGUUUUAUUUUUAGGAGCCUCUAUUUAGUAUCCACGUAUUUAUCCGCAUUUCACUUCAUCUUAGUCCUUGUAAUAAUCAAACGACUUAUAAGAUGAUACCUCAACUACCAUAAAAUUAGUUUAAUUUUAACAGUCUAAUAGUCCAAUUUUACCCUUCUAAUAAAAUUAAGAAACAAAACAAGAAACAAAACCCGGUCCUGGCGGAAGAAGGGAGGAUCUUUGGGACCUCAGGAAGGUUUGUGUAGGUUCCAAGAGGUUGGGAUGGGUUUGUGUAUGCUCCUCAACCUCACUUGGAGAUGAUGUUUUUGGUACUGUUGCAAAUGUAGCUGCAAAAAGUACUGUUGCAAUUGCUGAGUCGUUUUGGUGGGUGAUUUGGGGUUUUGAUAUUUUCAUGAAUUGGUUAAUUAAAUGGAUCCUCAACAAACUUUUUCUUGUCAAAUUUCUUCCUAUAUUUUGAUUGCUUUAUGAAUUUGGUGCUGAUUUGGUUAUUAUGUGUUUCUUGUCAAAUAAAUAACCAUAUUCAAGUAUUUUUUUUUUUUGGCCAAAAUUAAGACGGGGAAUUUCUCAUACACACAAAUACUACAAAUGUGUCAUGAGUGUUUGAACAUGACACCACUAAUUUACAAGUUAAGAUAAUUUUCUACUGAGCUAUAUCCCGUUGGCAUAUUGAAACAUAAUUAAUUUACAACAAACUACCAAAUUAAUAAAAACAUAAAUAUACGGAUUAAAUAAUAUAGUUUUUUUUUUUUGGGUUAGAAUAAUAUGAUAAUUUUGGAACACUAAAAAUUCCAAUAACCGAUGAUUCUUGGUGAUACUCUAGAAUAUUUUAUUUGAAAAAUAAACCACCAAAUGAAUAAAAGCAUAAAUUUAAGAUUAAAUAACAAGGCUAAUUUUGAACCACUAACAUUCCAACAUGCCCAAAGAAUAUCUUAUUCCAAUAAAUAAAUAAAACCAUUUUCCCUUUUUCUUAUGAUCAUGAUUAUAUGUCCCAAUCUCAGUGUAAAGAUAUCCCCAAAAUAAAAACGAAAUGAAAACAAGAAAAACAAAAGCAAAAAGAAAGAAGAAAUCCUUCUAUUAUUAUUGAUGGUCAGAAUCAGCCAAUCACUGUCAACGUCACAAUUGCAAUCGUCGUUUUGGUGUACAGCCUGAGCCUGUGCCCUCGUGCUUCACCUAACUUUCACGGAGUUGAAUUUCCGUUCCACCUACUCUGCGUGUAGAGUAUUUCAAAACCUCACCAGAAGAGAAGCCAAACACAAAUCAACCAAAAGCCAUGGAAGAAGACACAAUAGUCCUCUACGCAGCUCCAGGAAUGGGGCACAUAAUCUCCAUGGUUGAGCUAGGCAAGCUCAUUCUCAAUCGCUACCCCAAAAAAUUCUCCAUCACUAUUCUCUACACCUGCGGCAGCGUUGUGGAUACUCCAAGCAUCCCCGCCUACAUCCACCGUAUCUCCCUAGCCCAUCCUUCCAUGUCCUUCCGCCAAUUCCCUCGCGUUCAAAAUGAAAAUACAUCAUUAAUUGGCCGCAGCGGCGCUGCCAUAAUGUUCGAUUUCAUCCGCCGGAAUGAUCCUCAUGUCCGCCUUGCCCUCCUAGAGAUCUCCAAAUCUUCAGCCAUUCGCGCUUUUAUCAUUGACAUCUUCUGCUCCACUGCGCUGCCAAUGGCGAAGGAACUCGGCAUUCCCACCUACUACUUUUACACUUCCGGCGCUGCAGCUCUUGCGGCUUUUCUGUAUUUCCCGAAAAUCGGGGAACAAACCACCAAGAGCUUCAAGGAUCUAACCGAGACUGUUUUCGAGUUUCCUGGGUUUAAGUCUCCUCUCAAGGCCUCCCACAUGCCUGAGCCAAUGCUUGACCGAGACGACCCUGCGUAUUGGGACAUGCUCUACUUUUGCUCACACCUUCCCAAAUCUAAUGGGAUCAUAGCCAACACGUUCGAAGAGCUGGAGCCUCCUGCAGUCCUCAAAGCCAUUGCUGGAGGUCUUUGUGUUCCUGAUGCUCCCACUCCUCCCGUCUUCUACAUUGGGCCAUUGAUUGCUGAAGAAAAAC
rnacentral:lncRNA from 1 species